rnacentral:rRNA from 1 species
AACGAACGCUGGCGGCAGGCCUAACACAUGCAAGUCGAGCGCCCCGCAAGGGGAGCGGCGGACGGGUGAGUAACACGUGGGAAUUUUCCUCAAGGUACGGAACAACUCAGGGAAACUUGGGCUAAUACCGUAUGAUGCAGAGAUGCCAAAGAUUUAUCGCCUUGGGAUAAGCCCGCGUCAGAUUAGGUAGUUGGUGGGGUAAUGGCCUACCAAGCCUGUGAUCUGUAGCUGGUCUGAGAGGACGAUCAGCCACAUUGGGACUGAGACACGGCCCAAACUCCUACGGGAGGCAGCAGUGGGGAAUCUUGCGCAAUGGACGAAAGUCUGACGCAGCCAUGCCGCGUGAAUGAUGAAGGUCUUAGGAUUGUAAAGUUCUUUAGCCUGUGACGAUGAUGACGGUAACAGGAGAAUAAGCCCCGGCUAACUUCGUGCCAGCCGCCGCAGUAA